UAGGGAAUCUUCGGCAAUGGACGGAAGUCUGACCGAGCAACGCCGCGUGAGUGAAGAAGGUUUUCGGAUCGUAAAGCUCUGUUGUUAGAGAAGAACGUUGGUAGGAGUGGAAAAUCUACCAAGUGACGGUAACUAACCAGAAAGGGACGGCUAACUACGUGCCAGCAGCCGCGGUAAUACGUAGGUCCCGAGCGUUGUCCGGAUUUAUUGGGUGUAAAGCGAGCGCAGGCGGUUCUUUAAGUCUGAAGUUAAAGGCAGUGGCUUAACCAUUGUACGCUUUGGAAACUGGAGGACUUGAGUGCAGAAGGGGAGAGUGGAAUUCCAUGUGUAGCGGUGAAAUGCGUAGAUAUAUGGAGGAACACCGGUGGCGAAAGCGGCUCUCUGGUCUGUAACUGACGCUGAGGCUCGAAAGCGUGGGGAGCAAACAGG
rnacentral:rRNA from 1 species